UCUGCGCAUGUCUAUAUACGUUUUCCCGCUUUUUUAUGUCGUGGAGGUGGGGAUCUUUUUCACUAUCAAGGGUUUGCAACAGUACUGCGCGUUACGUAAAUUCGGUAUAACCCUGUCCAAGGAUCCUCAUUUUUGGAUCAUCUGGAGCACCAAAAAGAGGCCCAACAUCUCCCAGUGUGUCCUCAUUGUCUUCAACAGACUAUGAUAACACCAUCAUUCAGGGACUGAACCGAGAGCGUGUGCAUGACCACGUGAGUUCUCUAUUCCUUGCUUUCCAAACAAUGUACAGGUGCAGCAUAUACAUAUGAUACGGUGUGAUGGAUAAAAUGAACCACAUAUUAGCAACAACUACCGUACACACUCAACAUUUCAGUUUCACCAAAGGGGAGGGGGGGGGGGUAUUCAAAAUGAAACUACAAAAGUAAUGAAUGUGAGUAUUCUUAAAUCAUUGGACAUAUGAUAUGUUUUCAGAUAAAGUAUAUAGGGACAUAUAAGCUAUGUUAAAAAAGCUAUGUAAGAUACAGUGAAAACCUAUAAGCUCUAGUAAGCAAGCUGCUUUUCCCUGAUAGUCCAAGGGCUGGUUUAACGAAAAAUGAAUAUGUUUUGCUGAUGUUGAAAGCUCAUAUUAAAGAUUACAUUAUCAUAGUCUACAUGGGUUUAUAUUUGUGGAAAGUUCAGACUUACCAGUGUCCUUGGGUGGUGUCUGCAGCUGCCUGUUUAUAAUGCCCGUAUUGCUUGUAUGAGUUGCUGUAGGUGUAUUCUGACUUUGUCGGGUAGGCCCCCGGGCCCCCCCAUUCCGUUCGGGUUAAACUGGUGGUACGAGUAGGGGUUCAUAGAUUGUGAGUAGGUCUGGCUCUGAUAGUACUCAUGUUGGCUGUGCCCCGUCUGUCCUCUGUAGAAACCCAUAUCUGUGGCUGAGAACUGGGGCAAGGUUGGAGAGUCUUUGGAUGCAGGGUGGCAGCUCAUAGAGUUUGGGAUGUCAGUCAAAAUGCUGGCGAGCUGCUUUUCAAAAGCUGGUCCACUCAUUAUUGGUCGCACAGCAUCUCCUCCUUCCUGAAAGCAGACGGUCCGAGUGUGCAGUAGAUAGAGGAGGGAAAAGGGCAGUAAAGCAGGACCAAAUCCUUCAAAAAACUUCUCUGGUGAAAUUCUCUCUGCAGAACUGCAUGCACUGGGGGCAGCACCCAGCCGAAUUAAACUCUUAGUUAUCGAACACUGGGUGGAUUCUCUCUUCCUUUUGGCCCAGAAGAAGCCCCCCCCCCCGCAAUCUGCCCCCAGGGUAAAACAGCUCUGUGUCUCCUCCCCUGCUUCAAGCACACAGCAGCACACAACACACACCAUCUUGCUGGUGCAAUAAUUUACUGGAAUUAUUGCCUUUCUAUCCCAGGUCGGUAAUCAGUCAAGGUAAAUUCGUGUUCACCCUUAAGAUGCACAUUUGGUUUGCGUUGAGCAUGCAACUGUAAUUGAGCAUAACGCUUUUUGGAAAAGGAGCCAAAGUAUCAUUCUGCUGACACAUUAUUUAUAUUAGUGGGAUGACCUUUUCAGUGUGAGUCACCCUGCUACCAUGGCCUUCCUAUAUUGAGUUCAUUGUCUGUGAUUUUGAUAUGUCUCCGGAACCUGUUCCCUCGGUCUAAGAGCUCGGAACAGAGUUCCGGUGGUGUUGUUGAACUCCGUUUUCUCUGAGCAUGUUCGGUGGAACCUGAUGAGUUGGGACUUGAUCAAUCCUUGGAAGGUGCGUUUGGGCUGGAAGCUGGAUUUGUGCGGUAGACAGUGAGUGUCGGUGCUUUUAAAGUAAACCUUGGUCUCGAGUGUUUUAAAGCCACCUUGAGGUUUACUGUAAUGGACUGUGGUGUCCAGGAAGUUUACUUCCUGUGUGUCUCAGUGCUGUUUUAUUGUUAUUUUGGAGUGGUGUGUGUUCAUGAGUGUGGUGAAUGUGUCAAAAUCCUCGUGGCCAUGGUGCCAGACCCUGAAAAUGUCGCCCCGGUAUCUGUAGCACUGGAGUGGUCUGUUUGGGCAUUUCAUAAAUAGAGUUUCCUCCCAGUCUGCCAUGUAGAUGUUAGCAUAGGCCAGGGCAAGUUUUUAUUUAUUUUUUUUUUAUUUUUAUUUAUUUUUUUUUUUUAAACCCAUUGCUGUCCGCUGUAGGAGGGGGACACAGUGGUGCAGUGGGUUGGACGGGGUCCUGCUCUGCGGUUGGUCUGGGGGUUCGAAUCCCAGUUGGGGUGUCUUGCGACAGACUGGUGUCCUGUCCUGGGUGUGUCCUCUCCAGCCUUAGGCUCUGAGUUGCUGGGUUUGGCUCCAGUUCCCUGUGACCCCAUAUGGGCCAAGCGCUUCAGAAAGUGUGUGUGUGUUUACCUGUCUCAUCACACCUUUUGGAAAAUCUCCGUUUUAAGGCAUCCCUCUCUUAUGAUUAAGUGGUGCACCAUCUCCCGAUGGUUUUAGACAGUGUUUUGCAUGAAAAAGUUUAAAAAAAAUAAAAACACUUGUCAAAAUAAGUGAAAAAACA
rnacentral:lncRNA from 1 species